rnacentral:rRNA from 1 species
GACGAACGCUGGCGGCGUGCCUAAUACAUGCAAGUUGAGCGCUGAAGGUUGGUACUUGUACCAACUGGAUGAGCAGCGAACGGGUGAGUAACGCGUGGGGAAUCUGCCUUUGAGCGGGGGACAACAUUUGGAAACGAAUGCUAAUACCGCAUAAAAACUUUAAACACAAGUUUUAAGUUUGAAAGAUGCAAUUGCAUCACUCAAAGAUGAUCCCGCGUUGUAUUAGCUAGUUGGUGAGGUAAAGGCUCACCAAGGCGAUGAUACAUAGCCGACCUGAGAGGGUGAUCGGCCACAUUGGGACUGAGACACGGCCCAAACUCCUACGGGAGGCAGCAGUAGGGAAUCUUCGGCAAUGGACGAAAGUCUGACCGAGCAACGCCGCGCGAGUGAAUAAGGUUUUCGGAUCGUAAAACUCUGUUGGUAGAGAAGAACGUUGGUGAGAGUGGAAAGCUCAUCAAGUGACGGUAACUACCCAGAAAGGGACGGCUAACUACGUG